rnacentral:tRNA from 1 species
GCGGGUGUAGCUCAGUUGGUUAGAGCGCCGGCCUGUCACGCCGGAGGUCGCGGGUUCGAGCCCCGUCACUCNNN